rnacentral:rRNA from 1 species
UACGGAGGGGGCUAGCGUUGUUCGGAAUUACUGGGCGUAAAGCGCACGUAGGCGGACUGUUAAGUCGGGGGUGAAAUCCCGGAGCUCAACCGCGGAAUGGCCUUCGAUACUGGCGGUCUUGAGGUCUGGAGAGGUGAGUGGAAUUCCGCGUGUAGAGGUGAAAUUCGUAGAUAUUCGGAGGAACACCAGUGGCGAAGGCGGCUCACUGGCCAGAUACUGACGCUGAGGUGCGAAAGCGCGGGGAGCAAACAGG